rnacentral:rRNA from 1 species
UUGGAGGGCAAGUCUGGUGCCAGCAGCCGCGGUAAUUCCAGCUCCAAUAGCGUAUAUUAAAGUUGUUGCAGUUAAAAAGCUCGUAGUUGAAUUUCGGAAUCUGUCCGUCGGUCGGGCUUCACUGUCCGUACUGGUGUGAUGGGUUUCUACCUUCUGAAUAACCGGCAUGUCAUUAAUUUGGUGCGCCGGGGAAGCAGAACUAUUACCUUGAAAAAAUUAGAGUGCUUAAAGCAGGCUAUCGCUUGAAUACAUUAGCAUGGAAUAAUGAAAUAGGACGUUCGACCCUAUUUUGUUGGUUUCUAGGAUCGACGUAAUGAUUAAUAGGGAUAGUUGGGGGCAUUAGUAUUCAAUUGUCAGAGGUGAAAUUCUUGGAUUUAUUGAAGACUAACUACUGCGAAAGCAUUUGCCAAGGAUGUUUUCAUUAAUCAAGAACGAAAGUUAGGGGAUCGAAGACGAUCAGAUACCGUCGUAGUCUUAACCAUAAACUAUGCCGACUAGGGAUCGGGCGAUGUUAAUUUUUUAAUGACUCGUUCGGCGCCUUACGGGAAAC